UUUGUCUGUCCGUUAUCACAACGGCCUCGUCAAUAUCCCCGAACAUCUCGAAGUAUUUUCGAAGGGAUGCGUCGUUUGUAUGAUAAGAUCCUCUCAAUCUCUGUCAGGUUGGAUGGGGAGAGUCACUGGACAGGUAUUUUCAGGUGUCUCUAGAGAUCGGAUUCAAGUCCGACCUUCAAUGCUGCAGACAUGUUUUGUACCCUUCCCCAGAUCUGUGCCUCGACACAAUCCUGUCUCGGAGAUCUACAGACAAUUCCUUCGACCUAAUGGCUUGGUUUAUGUUCUUACAUGCACUGUCAACUGUGGGACCUUAUAUAGACAGGUGUUGUCUUUCCAAAUGUUGUCCAAUCAACUGAAUUUACCAAAGUUGGACUUAAAUCAGGUUGUACAAAUAUCUCAAGGAUGAUCAAUGGAAACAGGUUGCAUCAGAGCACAAUUUCAAGUCUCAUAGCAAAGAGUCUGAAUACUUAUGUAAAUAAGGUAUUUCUGUUUUUUAUUUUUAAUACAUUUGCUAAAUAAAAAAUAAAACUGUU